CGGGCGGCGGCGGCUACGUAGCUGCCGCCGGCCUUGGCCGCGGCCGGGCGGGCGGAUAUGUGGCUUAAAUGGCGCAGGCGUCGGGGCCUAGAGGCUGAAGGGCUGGUCGUCCUAAAAACUCGUGGACGUCGCGCACGGUUACCCGGACGCAGGCCCGCCCCUCUGGGGAACCGCGAGCUCCUCGCAGCUGGGUGGGGACCGUCCUCGCAGUGGCGGCCUCCACCCUGCCUUCUCGCUUAGCCAAGGCUUCUGGAAGGCUCGCAAAGUGUCUGUUGUUGGAAGAAGCCGGGCCCUGACUGGCGCGACGGAUUCUCCCAGCCGCUCAGCAGAGCGUCUGUAGGUCGGAAGUGGGGGUUGUAUUGGAAUAUGCUUUUUGUCUAAUGAUGUUAGAUAAAAAGCAAAUUUGGAGCAGUUUUCUUAUUCGAGUUCAAAAUGGUUCAUAAAGCAGCGAAGACAACUCAAAACAUCAGUAACACAUUUGGCCCAGGAACUGCUAACAAACAUACAGUGCAGUGGUGGCUUAAGAAGUUUUGCAAGGAAGAGAGCCUUGAAGAUGAGGAACGUGAUAUGGGCCAUGGGAAGUUGACAACGACCAAUUGAGAGCAAUCAUUGAACUACAUGAAAAAUUACAGAAGAACUCAGCGUUGACUAUUCUACGGUCAUUAGGGUCGUUCAGCAUUCGAAGCAAAUUGGAAAGGUGAAAAAGCUUGAUAAGUGGGUGCCUCAUGAGCUGAGCGGAAAUCAAAACUAUCGUUUUGAAGUGUAGUCUUCUUUUAUGCUACGCAACAACAAACCAUUUCUCAAUCGGAUUGUGACAUGUAAUGAAAAGUGAAUUUUAUACAACAACCAGCUCAGUGGUUGGACCAAGAGGCAGCUCCAAAGCAGUUCCCAAAGCCAAACUUGCACCAAAAAAAAGGUCAUGGUCACUGUUCGGUGGUCUGCUGCCCAUCUGAUCCACUACAGUUUUCUGAAUCCUGGUGAAACCAUUACAUCUGAGAAGUAUGCUCAGCAAAUUGGUAAGAUGCACCGAAAACUGCAAUACCUGCUGCCUGCAUUGGUCAACAGAAAGGGCCCAAUUCUUCUCCACGACAACACCUGACUGCGUGUCGCACAACCAGUGCUUCAAAAGUUGAAGGAAUUGGGCUACAAAGUUUUGCCUCAUCCACCAUAUUCACCUGACCUUUCGCCAACUGACUACCACUUCUGCUAGCAUCUUGACAACUUUUUGCAGGGAAAACACUUCAGCAUGGUGCAGAAAAUGCUUUCCAAGAGUUCGUCAAAUCCUGAAGCACGGAUUUUUAUGCUACAGGAAUAAACAAACAUUUCUCAUUGGCAAAAAUGUGUUGAUUGUAAUGGUUCCUGUUUUGAUUAAUAGAAUAUGUUUUAGCGUAGUUACAAUGAUUUAAAAUUCGCAGUCUGGAAAUUUAAUUUUUGCAUCAACCUAAUAUUUCUAUGGUAAAUCCUUGCAAACAUGGAAACAAUGCAUUUGGCCCAGUGCUUUGUGGUUGUGUACUCUUUUUCUUUGUUUUUUUAAUAGAUGGCAUUGGCCGGGCAUGGUGGCUCAUGCCUGUAAUCCCAGCAUUUUGGGAAGGUCAGGAGUUCAAGACCAGCCUGACUAACAUGGUAAAACCCCAUCUCUACUAAAAAUACAAAAAAAUUAGCUAGGCGGGGUGGCGGGCAUCUAAUUCCAGCUACUUCAUGAGGCUGCGACAGGAGAAUCAUUUGAACUCGGGAGGCAGAGGUUGCAGUGAGCCGAGAUCACACCAUUGCACUCCAGCCUGGGCGAUGAGCGAAACUGUCUCAAAAAAAAAAAAAGUUGGGGUCUCGCUGUGUUGACCAGGCUGGUCUCGAACUCCUGGCCUCAAGUGAUCCUCCCAUCUUGGCCUCCCAAAGUGUUAGGAUUACAGGCGUGAGCCACCACACCCUGCCUGGUUGUGUACUCUUUUAAAUACUAAGUUUUUAAUGUUAAAUGCUGCUUUUAGAUACACUGUAAAAAUACACCUAUCAAUGAGUUUUUUUAUUAAAAACAUUGCAAUUGUACUAGACUUUAAAUACUAAGCAAUAAUUCAGGCUUCAAUGUUGGUUUAUAGUUUUCUCAUUUCUUUCAUUUAAUACCUCUGUAAAAUGAAGCAGUUACUUCCAUUUUCCUGAGGUGAGAUAAGUGCCCUGCACAAUGUUAUAGGCCCAGUAAGUGAGACUGGAGCUCUGAUCUAAUCCCUUUGACAUUAAAGUUUGUGCAGUAAACCAGCUAUGUCAGUUUGCCACAUUUGUAAUAGUGUUCAAUAAAUUUUCACUUAAAGGUUUAAUAUUAAAGUAGUAGCAAGAAUUCAUAACCUUAAUUGGCUUUAACAGCUUUUCUUUCCCUGAAAACAGAUGCAUAUGUACACAUGCACACAGAUUGCUUACAAUAUCAGCACGUAAAAGGCCUUUGCACAUUGAAGUCGGCACUGCUUUGGUGCCUUUUUUGUUUUUUGGCUCGGUGUUUUGACUGCAAGUCUUUUUGGAUAGAAUUUUAUAGUUAGAAAGUAGCUAACACUUGGGUUUUAUAGGCACAAAAAACAAGUCUUAUACUAGCUGUACUUUAUUUUUUGAGUUCUUAUUAAUGAGGAACAUCCACUUUUGCAUUGACAGUGAUUUCAAGAUUGCUUUAUCAGCCUUUAAAGGAUUCUUGACUAGUCGUGCACAUCAGAACUGCCAGGUCCCCAGUGGUUCUGAAGCAGUAAGCUUUGGGUGGGCUCUGGCAUCAGCACUUUCACUAAGCUUCACAGAUAAUUCUGAUGCAUACUCCAGGCCUGAACCACUGAUCAAUUUGAAACAUGCAUAACAAAGCAAAAAAAGUUUUGUUUCACCUUUUGAAAUACAGUUAACUCUUUUACCAUGCCAGAGAUCAUUCAGAGAGACAGGUCGUUGCUCCGGAGUGAUACAGAUCUGGCAGUACCCAGCCCUUGUGUGUGUGCGUUAGCUCAGCACCUGCCCACACUGCGAGCCCCCGUAGGAUGUGCCUUGUCCUUCCCUGUUUCAGCACUUAACACACUACCUGGUACAGAGUAUGUAGUGGGCAUCUGUUGAAUGAAUGCUUUUCCCAGUAGCAGUGUAUUCAUACAAUAUUAAUAUAAUUGUCCCCUGGCUUACAGAUAAAAAUGAAAGCAUCAAGUGCCCAGUGAGUGAGACCCAGGUGUUCUUCCUCCACCCCUAGUGGUCCCCUGGGCAGGUCUUUUUUUUUUUGUAACACUCACCAGUCUGUUCUGUAGUCAAUCAUUGAUUGACUUGUCUGUGAACUUGGAGGAACUGUUUCAUAGUUUCAUUAGCACAGAGUAAACAUGUUUGCCAUGCAAGGUUAUUUUGCAUCUGCAUUUAAGUGAUAAUGUUGAAUCAAUGAAAAGUGUUGAUUAAGCAGUAGUUGUAGAUAUGCUAAGUUUUUCAAAUUACUAAUAUCAAGUGGAGAUUGUUUUUACUUUUAAGGGUAUUGCUUUUGUGAUAGCAUAAAUAAUGGUUUUCCUUUUUUGUAAUGUAAAUUAAUUGCUGGCAACUUUUGUAUUCCCAUAGACUGGGGAAGCUUAAUUGCCUUUACAAGUACUUAUGUACAACUUUGUAUCAAAUUUUCUGUAAUAGUUUAUGCUUUAGUACUAUAUAUGUACUAAUAAUUUUAUCUGACUUCUGUUUAUAUCAUUUGUACAAUUACAUGGUUGUAAAAUAAACUUUUAAACCUCA
rnacentral:lncRNA from 1 species